rnacentral:rRNA from 1 species
UACGUAGGGUGCAAGCGUUAAUCGGAAUUACUGGGCGUAAAGCGUGCGCAGGCGGUGAUGUAAGACAGUUGUGAAAUCCCCGGGCUCAACCUGGGAACUGCAUCUGUGACUGCAUCGCUGGAGUGCGGCAGAGGGGGAUGGAAUUCCGCGUGUAGCAGUGAAAUGCGUAGAUAUGCGGAGGAACACCGAUGGCGAAGGCAAUCCCCUGGGCCUGUACUGACGCUCAUGCACGAAAGCGUGGGGAGCAAACAGG